AUCAACUUUCGAUGGUAGGAUAGAGGCCUACCAUGGUGGUAACGGGUAACGGGGUGUUAGGGCACGACACCGGAGAGGGAGCCUGAGAAACGGCUACCACAUCCAAGGAUGGCAGCAGGCGCGCAAAUUACCCAAUCCCGACACGGGGAGGUAGUGACAAUAAAUAACAAUACGGGGUCCUUUCGGGUUUCGUAAUUGGAAUGAGUACAAUUUAAAUCUCUUAACGAGGAACAAUUGGAGGGCAAGUCUGGUGCCAGCAGCCGCGGUAAUUCCAGCUCCAAUAGCGUAUAUUAAAGUUGUUGCAGUUAAAAAGCUCGUAGUUGAAUUUCGGGAUCAGUACGCUGGUCGUGCCUUCGGUAUGCACUGGUGUCACUGGUUCCUCCCUUCUGAAGAACUGUCAUGCCAUUCAGUUGGUGUGGCGGGAAAUCAGGACUGUUACUUUGAAAAAAUUAGAGUGUUUAAAGCAGGCUCGCGCUUGAAUACAUUAGCAUGGAAUAAUGAAAUAGGACGUUUGAUCCUAUUUUGUUGGCUUCUAGGAUCGACGUAAUGAUUAAUAGGGAUAGUUGGGGGCAUUAGUAUUCAAUUGUCAGAGGUGAAAUUCUUGGAUUUAUUGAAGACUAACUACUGCGAAAGCAUUUGCCAAGGAUGUUUUCAUUAAUCAAGAACGAAAGUUAGGGGAUCGAAGACGAUCAGAUACCGUCGUAGUCUUAACCAUAAACUAUGCCGACUAGGGAUCGGAUGAUGUUAUUUUUAAUGACUCAUUCGGCGCCUUACGGGAAACCAAAGUGUUUGGGUUC
rnacentral:rRNA from 1 species